CGGAAGCGAAAUAAAAUAGAUUAUGAUUAAUAUUUCUUACACAAUAACCAAAACAAAUUAAACGUAUGAAAAAAUAAACUAACUUAAAGGAAAUAUUAUGAAUGAAUGCUAUAAAAAAAACUAAUAAAUUCUUUGGCUUCUACUCGCCAUCUUCCUGCAGAACGGGCUCGGGAACCAAGUUCUCAUGAUCUAAAAUGGUUAAGUAAGGAAUGAGUUACACUAACCCAAUAAAGACAUCACACUAUCUCACUGUCACAGAAGUAAAGGUUGGUAGAAAACAAAAACGACCAAUGGAACAUAAUUUAUAACAAACUCAUUUAUCAAUAAUAAAAACCUUUACUGUCCCCUUACCUCAGUAACAUUCAUGAAAACAACUUAUGAGAAACAAUAACAUCAUAAGAUCAUGCACACUCUGUAACAUAACGCAUAUCAUACUUUUGUAUUUCAAUCAUCAGGCAACAAAUUUCCUCUUUUAUCAGCCUACUAGUAUCCAUGGGGAUCCACAGGGGGUCCCCGCUACACGUGAACCAUUCACAUUAAUAACUUAAUUCCAGGGCCAUCCCCAUACCCCGUCCGAUAUGGGCGUCAAAACCAUAAACCUCAAUACCCCGUCCGGUAUGAGGGUGAAACGGGCUGUCCCCAUACCCCGUCCGAUAUGGGCGCCAAAACACAUAAAGUCUUCAUACCCCGUCCGAUAUGAGAGACCACGUUCCCGGUAGGGUUCCCUAUGGACCUGGUCCGUCCACCAUCUCUCAAGAUAUCUAGUCAGGCUGUCGACAUUAUCCAUUUAUCAAUUCGCAUACCUUUUUUCAUUCUUUUCUUAAUCUUAAUUAUCCAAUCAAAUAUAAACAUGUAAACCAAUAAUGGACACCAAACAAGGCAACACAACAUCGGGUUCACAAUAAUUCAAAUCAUAAUAAAUGAAACCGUGAUUCAUGCAUAUGAAAUCAUAGAAUAAACACAUCAGGCACCAUACUUCAUUUAAAACUGUAAAAUAAAUCAAACAAUAACUGACCGAAAAAUACAUCAAAUUCGUGCCCCAUUAGACACCUUAAUUAAUUAUACAUAUAUAUUAAUUCAUAAAUACUGUUUUAUCAUUUAUUAAGCUUUAAUGCCGUAAUAGGAAAUAGGGUGAGAGAUCCUUACUUGUUUUGGAGUCUGAAAUCGGGUUCUCACUGCGCUUACGGG
rnacentral:lncRNA from 1 species